UACGAAGGGGGCUAGCGUUGCUCGGAAUCACUGGGCGUAAAGCGCACGUAGGCGGAUUGUUAAGUCAGGGGUGAAAUCCUGGAGCUCAACUCCAGAACUGCCUUUGAUACUGGCGAUCUCGAGUCCGGGAGAGGUGAGUGGAACUGCGAGUGUAGAGGUGAAAUUCGUAGAUAUUCGCAAGAACACCAGUGGCGAAGGCGGCUCACUGGCCCGGUACUGACGCUGAUGCGCGAAAGCGUGGGUAGCAAACAGG
rnacentral:rRNA from 1 species